UGGGGAAUAUUGCACAAUGGGCGCAAGCCUGAUGCAGCCAUGCCGCGUGUAUGAAGAAGGCCUUCGGGUUGUAAAGUACUUUCAGCGGGGAGGAAGGCGAUAAGGUUAAUAACCUUGUCGAUUGACGUUACCCGCAGAAGAAGCACCGGCUAACUCCGUGCCAGCAGCCGCGGUAAUACGGAGGGUGCAAGCGUUAAUCGGAAUUACUGGGCGUAAAGCGCACGCAGGCGGUCUGUCAAGUCGGAUGUGAAAUCCCCGGGCUCAACCUGGGAACUGCAUUCGAAACUGGCAGGCUAGAGUCUUGUAGAGGGGGGUAGAAUUCCAGGUGUAGCGGUGAAAUGCGUAGAGAUCUGGAGGAAUACCGGUGGCGAAGGCGGCCCCCUGGACAAAGGCUGACGCUCAGGUGCGAAAGCGUGGGGAGCAAACA
rnacentral:rRNA from 1 species